AAUAAAAAAAAAAAAAAAAAGUAAUACCCAAGAGAUAAUAAUUCUGGCUGCUUGAACCCACAAAGCCUCACAAACCACAAAGCUCUACACUACUUAAAUAGGCCAACCCACAAAAGUGUUGCUUCCUCACUUUCUUGGGUUUUUUUGGGUUUUUCACAUUUUGUGAAAUUUCCCACUUACGAAAUGAUAAGAGUCUUGAACUGCUGGUGGGAACGCUCUAGGCUGCCAACGGUCAAAUGCAUGAGCAAGUAAAUAGAAGUUGGAACUCUAGAAGGGUACAUUUAAUGCAUUUAGCACUGCAUUUAAACCCAUUGGAGAAGAGUCAUAAGAAGGGAACGCUGGUUCAGUG
rnacentral:misc_RNA from 1 species